ACUAAUUGCCAUGCUGUUCAGCUGCACUGACACAAAAAAAAACUUUCUGAUAUAAUUGAGCACAUUAAAAAUAUUAGAUUAAUGUGUUGGCUCUGCCAGGUUUUAAAUAGGGCAAGAUAACAUGGCUUAUCAAAAUCUGAGCACAUGCAGGAUGAUCAUUCACCUACCUCAUCACACAUUGCCCACAUGCUUGGUGCCAUGGAGGUGGGCUGCCCUGAGGAGGCCAGCUGGAGGAGUAAAGGCUUCGCUGUGGUAAUUCUGGCCUCAGUGCUCUGCAGGGCAGCGCUGGGGCAGCACCUGGGCCUGGUGCACCUCAGCACAGCCUGGUGCUGUGCUCACCUCAGGCGAGGCCUGCAGCCUGCUGCUGAAAUGCUGUCAGGUGGCAGAGACAACAAAAGCAUCAUCUCCUGAGGCUGGCCAAAGCUCUUAAAAUGAGGUAAAAAUACGAGGAGAGACUGGCCUUGUCGAGGCUGCUGUGGUGUGUGGAGGUGUGAGGCACUGCUGGCAUCAGGUGGUUCAGUGCCACAUCAUGCAGGUGAGGUCUGCUGAGGCUCCUGAGUUCAUACUUAGUCAGAAAGGCAGGCACCCUGAGUCAUGUUUAUUUCAACAGAUGUACAGGUAUACUGAAAUUCAAGUCUGUGUUUCUCUAUGGCUUUAACAAAACCAUUGUGGCUGUGGCAGGAGGAAGCUGAAGCUUCCCCUCCUGCUGAGGAGCCAGUCUUGAGUUUGAGCUUGUAGUGUUCAAAUGUGUGCCUGAGGAACAUCGGAGGACUCCUCAGAGAGCUGCCCACUACCCUAACUCCUCCCACCGCUGCCCCUCAGGAGUGGUUAGGUGAAGUCCUUCCUGAGACGCUUGUGUUUUACUGAGGAGCUCUUCGGAGGUCUUCUGUGUGCAGUUUGCAGCACUCCAUGGUUGACAAAUGUGAGGAAUGUUCUGCAGGUACUGGAGCUCCAUGAUUUCUAUCAAAAGCUAAUUUAUGCAUCUGAGAGGGCAACGGCACUUUUCCCCUUCACAUGCCCCAUGCCUGUUCACGCAUGGUCUCCAUCCAGGGAGAAGGGGAUGAUCCCAAAAGGUGAGCACCUACAGCUUGCUGUAGACAGGCCAGCAGAGCUGGUUGUGCCGCAGUGCUCAGUGUCCCAGAAGAACAGCCACCCCUAUGGGAUGGAGCAGCAGUUCAGUGCUGAGUGGUUUGAACCUAACACAUGAACAGUCACUGGAAGCUAUGGUUAUGAUGCUGUACAUGAUUACAAUGUUGAGGUAAGUAUUUUUCUUUGUGGAAAGACAUCAGAAGACCUUUAACAGCUGGAAGCGGCUGGUGCUGGGGUGAGAUCUGCACCGAAGUUGCCUCUAAUUACAGAGUGCCCCCUGCUGAGCUCCUGCUCGUGGCUAAGCAGAGCGGAGAGUGCCAUCUGCUGCUCCUAAGUAUACAAUAAACUGUUUGCCACUUGUGAUUGAAGUGCU
rnacentral:lncRNA from 7 species